rnacentral:lncRNA from 1 species
GUGAAUAUUGGCAGUGAGUUUAAAAGGUGGAGACGACUUAAGCUAAAAAAGACUACAAGACUGACCCAGAGCUGCUAGUUCACAUUCAUAUCAGUGGUUUGUGUGCAGCUGGGAUAAAAAGGCAGAGGGUAUCUGAGAGAGAUAGAUAGGUUAGCAAGGUUAGCUACAGUGAUCUGGGCUAUGCUGGAUAACACAGUCAUGCUACACACACUAACGUGCAAUCAGUCACAACGGAGGAGCAGCUGUGUCACAUCUGAUUAAUACCUCGGCAGUGAUGAGUACUCCAAAAUAUUUGUCUCACAUCACUUGCAGUAUAACAUUGAUAUGAACAAGAAUGAAAUGGCUUUUUCCUACUCUAUCACCUCUGUCACGGCAGAUUCCUGAAAGGAAAUCACAAAGAAACAUGAAAAGCUACUGCCAGGAACAAACAUGCAAUCCAAUCAAAUUACUCAUAUUUAUGGACCACGGGGGAAAAUCAGACCACCUGGAGGAAACCCAAAUGGACAUGAAAACUCAUCUAGAGAAGGAAUUGAAACUACAGUUACCAUGCUGAGAGGAAAAUGUGCUAACUGCUGCACCACGCUCCUGUCAGCAGCUGCACGUGUUCCAGUGAAGGCAGGACAGAAAUUAUAGCUCUAAACCCAGAGACUUCCAUGUGCAUAUAUGGAUAGACUUCAAGCAAUAGAAUUAAUCCAUAAUAAAUUUCAAUAUUUGUUUUAAUACA